UAUCUAACAAGGAUUCCCCUAGUAACUGCGAGUGACGCGGGAAGAGCUCAAAUUUAAAAUCUGGCGUCUUCGGCGUCCGAGUUGUAAUUUAGAGAAGCGUUUUCCGCGCCGGACCGUGUACAAGUCUCCUGGAACGGAGCGUCAUAGAGGGUGAGAAUCCCGUCUUUGACACGGACCCCCGGUGCUCUGUGAUACGCUCUCGAAGAGUCGAGUUGUUUGGGAAUGCAGCUCAAAAUGGGUGGUGAACUCCAUCUAAAGCUAAAUAUUGGCGAGAGACCGAUAGCGAACAAGUACCGUGAGGGAAAGAUGAAAAGCACUUUGGAAAGAGAGUGAAACAGUACGUGAAAUUGUUGAAAGGGAAACGCUUGAAGUCAGUCGCGUCCGCCGAGAUUCAGCCGCAAGGUGUACUUCUCGGUGGACGGGCCAGCAUCACUUUCGGUCGUCGGAAAAGGGCGAGAGGAAUGUGGCACCUUCGGGUGUGUUAUAGCCUCUCGUCGUAUACGGCGGUGGGGAGUGAGGAACGCCUUUGCAGGAUGCUGGCAUAAUGGCUUUAAACGACCCGUCUUGAAACACGGACCAAGGAGUCUAACAUGCCCGCGAGUGUUCGGGUGGAAAACCCGUGCGCGUAAUGAAAGUGAAAGUUGGGAAGGCUGUCGUGGCCUGCACCGACGCCCGGACUUGAGAUUUAUCGAAGGUUCUGCGGUAGAGCGUGUAUGUUGGGACCCGAAAGAUGGUGAACUAUGCCUGAAUAGGGUGAAGCCAGAGGAAACUCUGGUGGAGGCUCGUAGCGAUUCUGACGUGCAACUCGAUCGUCAAACUUGGGUAUAGGGGCGAAAGACCCCCCGAACCAUCUAGUAGCUGGUUCCUGCCAGACUA
rnacentral:rRNA from 1 species